GGGCCCGCACAAGCGGUGGAGUAUGUGGUUUAAUUCGAUGCAACGCGAAGAACCUUACCAGGGUUUGACAUCCUGCGAAUCUCUUGGAAACAGGAGAGUGCCUUCGGGAACGCAGUGACAGGUGGUGCAUGGCUGUCGUCAGCUCGUGUCGUGAGAUGUUGGGUUAAGUCCCGCAACGAGCGCAACCCACGUCUUUAGUUGCCAGCAUUUAGUUGGGCACUCUAGAGAGACUGCCGGUGAUAAACCGGAGGAAGGUGUGGAUGACGUCAAGUCAUCAUGCCCCUUACAUCCUGGGCUACACACGUGCUACAAUGGUAGGUACAGAGGGAAGCCACCUCGUGAGAGGGAGCGGA
rnacentral:rRNA from 1 species